AUUUCGUCAUGAUUGCAAAUCUCUGCUCUGCAAAGGGCAAGCUCUAGGUUUCAUGAGAAGCCUGGGUUAAUAUUCAAGAUGGAUUUCCGGUCAUGUAAUAAAUUAUAAUAUAGAAGAAAUUGGACAGAAUGAAAACAAAAUUAAUUCAUUAAAGAAAUUACAAGACAGUGAAAUGUACCUCAUCUUCUGGUGAAAGGUGCUGGUUGACAUAAUAUGUUGCUUCAUUUUUUUUUCCCUGUACUUGCAGCAAGUUAGGUGCUCUGAAUGCAAGACGUAGUCAUCUGCUUCAGGUUGGUGUAAAAAGUUAGAAUUUACUUUAAAGUUGACCUGGUGAGCAGAGAAAGCAACACAAGUUGUUGCUUGAGCGCAACUGUGGCAUAAUCAAGUACACAUGGACCUGCAGAGGUCAAAUGUUCCUGAUUUUUUUUUUUUAAUUGAGAACCUGGAUGGAAUGGUACUUGGAUUGAAUUGUUGCCUGAAUAGAUUGAGUUAAUGGCACAAAUGCUUCACAAUGAAAGGAGCUUGCCCCUUUUUUUCUGAAGUACUAUAAGAGGAAGUUGUGCACAUCGAGAUUGUAUGUCAAUUUGGUAUCUUGUAAUCUUUAAUGAAUACUUCAGAUUACAGACAACAACUUAAUCAUUUUGAGGCUUUUAUAAAAGGUUUGUCUAACUAUGUGGCUGUUGGUAUAUCUAAUCUUGUGCGAUUACCGACUUGAAAAUGAAGCUACCAAG
rnacentral:misc_RNA from 1 species